rnacentral:rRNA from 1 species
CCUACGGGAGGCAGCAGGAGGGAAUAGUGCGCAAUGGGGGAAACCCUGAAGCAGCAACGCCGCGGGGAGGAUGAAGGUUUUCGGAUUGUAAACUCCUUUUGUUAGAGAAGAGAAUGACGGUAUCUAACGAAUAAGCACCGGCUAACUCCGUGCCAGCAGCCGCGGUAAUACGGAGGGUGCAAGCGUUAUUCGGAAUCACUGGGCGUAAAGGGCGCGUAGGCGGGAUAGCAAGUCAGAUGUGAAAUCCUAUGGCUUAACCAUAGAACUGCAUUUGAAACUGUUAUUCUAGAGUAUGGGAGAGGUAGGUGGAAUUCUUGGUGUAGAGGUGAAAUCCGUAGAGAUCAAGAGGAAUACUCAUUGCGAAGGCGACCUGCUAGAACAUAACUGACGCUGAUGCGCGAAAGCGUGGGGAGCAAACAGGAUUAGAUACCCCUGUAGUC